UGGGGAAUAUUGGACAAUGGGCGGAAGCCUGAUCCAGCAACGCCGCGUGAGGGAUGACGGCCUUCGGGUUGUAAACCUCUUUCAGCACAGACGAAGCGCAAGUGACGGUAUGUGCAGAAGAAGGACCGGCCAACUACGUGCCAGCAGCCGCGGUAAUACGUAGGGUCCGAGCGUUGUCCGGAAUUAUUGGGCGUAAAGGGCUCGUAGGCGUUUGUCGCGUCGGGGAGUGAAAAACACCGGGGCUUAAACUCGGUGCUUGCUUUCGAUACGGGCAGACUAGAGGCAUUCAGGGGGAGAACGGAAUUCCUGGUGUAGCGGUGAAAAUGCGCAGAUAUCAGGAGGAACACCGGUGGCGAAAGGCGGUUCUCUGGGAAUGUCCUGACGCUGAGGAGCGAAAAGUGUGGGGGAGCGAACAGGAUUAGAU
rnacentral:rRNA from 1 species